UGCUGGAAAGUGGAAACAGCUGGAAACUGGUCACACAUUUCCCCUAGACAAACAUCAGCUACAAGAUGUUGCAAGAGACAGUCAAAUUCUUUCUUCUGAGGAGGCAAGAACUGAGGUUGCUGCAGACCUAUACGGAUUCGUCACCGGUAACUCAGACACCUUCUAUGGGUGACACAAGGACAGCAGUCAUAUUGGAUUAGGGCCAUCCCAAUGACCUCAUUAUCCUUAAUUACCUCAUUAAAGAUCCGAUCUCCAAAUCUA